ACUCCUACGGGAGGCAGCAGUGGGGAAUAUUGGACAAUGGGCGAAAGCCUGAUCCAGCUAUGCCGCGUGUGUGAAGAAGGUCUUCGGAUUGUAAAGCACUUUAAGUUGGGAGGAAGGGCAGUAACCUAAUACGUUGCUGUCUUGACGUUACCGACAGAAUAAGCACCGGCUAACUCUGUGCCAGCAGCCGCGGUAAUACAGAGGGUGCAAGCGUUAAUCGGAAUUACUGGGCGUAAAGCGCGCGUAGGUGGUUUGUUAAGUUGGAUGUGAAAUCCCCGGGCUCAACCUGGGAACUGCAUUCAAAACUGACAAGCUAGAG
rnacentral:rRNA from 1 species